rnacentral:rRNA from 1 species
CAGCAGCCACGGGAAUACGAAGGGUGCAAGCGUUACUCGGAAUUACUGGGCGUAAAGCGUGCGUAGGUGGUGGUUUAAGUCCGUUGUGAAAGCCCUGGGCUCAACCUGGGAAUUGCAGUGGAUACUGGGUCACUAGAGUGUGGUAGAGGAUAGUGGAAUUUCCGGUGUAGCAGUGAAAUGCGUAGAGAUCGGGAGGAACAUCAGUGGCGAAGGCGGCCAUCUGGGACAACACUGACGCUGAGGCACGAAAGCGUGGGGAGCAAACAGGAUUAGAUACCCCCGUAGUCCCUGUCUCUUAUAC